GAUGAAGAACGUAGCGAAAUGCGAUAAGUAUGUGAAUUGCAGAAUUCAGUGAAUCAUCGAAUCUUUGAACGCACAUUGCGCCCGCCAGUAUUCUGGCGGGCAUGCCUGUUCGAGCGUCAUUACAACCCUCAGGCCCCCGGGCCUGGCGUUGGGGAUCGGCGGAGCCCCCCGUGGGCACACGCCGUCCCCCAAAUGCAGUGGCGGUCCCGCCGCAGCUUCCAUCGCGUAGUAGCUAACACCUCGCGACUGGAGAGCGGCGCGGCCACGCCGUAAAACACCCAACUCUUCUGAAGUUGACCUCGAAUCAGGUAGGAAUACCCGCUGAACUUAAGCAUAUCAAUAAGCGGAGGA
rnacentral:misc_RNA from 1 species